rnacentral:rRNA from 1 species
GAUGAACGCUGGCGGCGUGCCUAAUACAUGCAAGUCGAGCGAACAGACGAGGAGCUUGCUCCUUUGACGUUAGCGGCGGACGGGUGAGUAACACGUGGGUAACCUACCUAUAAGACUGGGAUAACUUCGGGAAACCGGAGCUAAUACCGGAUAAUAUUUCGAACCGCAUGGUUCGAUAGUGAAAGAUGGCUUUGCUAUCACUUAUAGAUGGACCUGCGCCGUAUUAGCUAGUUGGUAAGGUAACGGCUUACCAAGGCAACGAUACGUAGCCGACCUGAGAGGGUGAUCGGCCACACCGGAACUGAGACACGGUCCAGACUCCUACGGGAGGCAGCAGUAGGGAAUCUUCCGCAAUGGGCGAAAGCCUGACGGAGCAACGCCGCGUGAGUGAUGAAGGUCUUCGGAUCGUAAAACUCUGUUAUUAGGGAAGAACAAACGUGUAAGUAACUGUGCACGUCUUGACGGUACCUAAUCAGAAAGCCACGGCUAACUACGUG